AGAGUUUGAUCAUGGCUCAGAGUGAACGCUGGCGGCAGGCCUAAUACAUGCAAGUCGAACGGCAGCACAGCAGAGCUUGCUCUGUGGGUGGCGAGUGGCGGACGGGUGAGGAAUACGUGGGAAUCUGCCCAGUCGUGGGGGAUAACGUAGGGAAACUUACGCUAAUACCGCAUGCGCCCUUCGGGGGAAAGCCGGGGAUCUUCGGACCUGGCGCGAUUGGAUGAGCCCACGUCGGAUUAGCUAGUUGGGGGGGUAAAGGCCCACCAAGGCGACGAUCCGUAGCUGGUCUGAGAGGAUGAUCAGCCACACUGGAACUGAGACACGGUCCAGACUCCUACGGGAGGCAGCAGUAGGGAAUAUUGGACAAUGGGCGCAAGCCUGAUCCAGCCAUGCCGCGUGUGUGAAGAAGGCCUUCGGGUUGUAAAGCACUUUUAUCCGGAAAGAAAAGCGCUGGGUUAAUACCCUGGUGUCCUGACGGUACCGGAAGAAUAAGCACCGGCUAACUUCGUGCCAGCAGCCGCGGUAAUACGAAGGGUGCAAGCGUUACUCGGAAUUACUGGGCGUAAAGCGUGCGUAGGUGGUUUGUUAAGUCUGAUGUGAAAGCCCUGGGCUCAACCUGGGAAUUGCAUUGGAUACUGGCAGGCUAGAGUGCGGUAGAGGGUAGUGGAAUUCCCGGUGUAGCAGUGAAAUGCGUAGAGAUCGGGAGGAACACCAGUGGCGAAGGCGACUACCUGGACCAGCACUGACACUGAGGCACGAAAGCGUGGGGAGCAAACAGGAUUAGAUACCCUAGUAGUCC
rnacentral:rRNA from 1 species